UACGUAGGGUGCGAGCGUUAAUCGGAAUUACUGGGCGUAAAGCGUGCGCAGGCGGUUCGUUAUGUCCGUUGUGAAAGCCCCGGGCUCAACCUGGGAAUGGCAAUGGAAACUGGCGAGCUUGAGUGUGGCAGAGGGGGGUGGAAUUCCACGUGUAGCAGUGAAAUGCGUAGAGAUGUGGAGGAACACCGAUGGCGAAGGCAGCCCCCUGGGCUAACACUGACGCUCAUGCACGAAAGCGUGGGGAGCAAACAGG
rnacentral:rRNA from 1 species